UGUGGAGGAGUCCCUGAUGGAGAGUUUUGGUUCAGGACUUUGGAGCAAGGGAUCUUGACUCUGGAGCGGACCGGGAGAGGCUGUGGCCGUCCUGCUGUGGGACAGUCCCACUCAGCCAGUUUCUAGAGGCUGUUAACAGCUUCUGUUCACACAGUUGGUCUCAACACCAAUGACUAAGGAAAGCACGAAAGACCAAAGAUGGGGUGGGGAGCUGGGCUCCCUGGUCCUCACUGUUGGCAUCUGACCCCACCCAGAGCAGCAGGGAGGACAUGAGAGUCUACAGAGAUCUAACCGGGAGCCAGGAGAGACUGGCCAGCCAUGGUGGCAGGAAACUGUCCAGGGUUGCGGAUGAAAGGACCGACCGACCGACCAACUGCUCAGAACGGCCGGCCUCGGCCGCCCCUCCUCCAUAGCACACAGGGCUCCAGCAUGUACACCCUUCACCGGGAAGCUACUGGGUGCACCACCGUGCUUGGUUCGAAUUAGUUGAAUUUUCUCAAUAGCGUGUUUUACAAGCCAGGCAUGGUGGAGCAAGGCUAGUCCCAGCAUUUGAGAGACAGAGGCCAAAGGAUCAGGAGUUCAAGGUCAUCCUCUCAGCUACACAGCCAGCCUGAGACCAGCCUGGGCAAUACUGGACCCUGUUGCAAAAAAAAUAAACAUAAAACAAACAAAAGCAACGUGGUGUUUC